GUGCUAGCUUUAGCAGCACAUACCAUAAAAUUGGAAGAAUAUGGAAAAGAUUAGCGUGACCCCUGUAUAAGGAUGACACACAGAUUUGUAAAUUGUUCUGUAUUUUU